GACGAACGCUGGCGGCGCGCCUAAUACAUGCAAGUUGAGCGAUGAAGAUUGGUGCUUGCACCAAUUUGAAGAGCAGCGCACGGGUGAGUAACGCGUGGGGAAUCUGCCUUUGAGCGGGGGACAACAUUUGGAGACGAAUGCUAAUACCGCAUAACAACUUUAAACAUAAGUUUUAAGUUUGAAAGAUGCAAUUGCAUCACUCAAAGAUGAUCCCGCGUUGUAUUAGCUAGUUGGUGAGGUAAAGGCUCACCAAGGCAAUGAUACAUAGCCGACCUGAGAGGGUGAUCGGCCACAUUGGGACUGAGACACGGCACAAACUCCUACGGGAGGCAGCAGUAGGGAAUGUUCGGCAAUAGACGAAAGUCUGACCGAGCAACGCCGCGUGAGUGAAGAAGGUUUUCGGAUCGUAAAACUCUGUUGGUAGAGAAGAACGUUGGUGAGAGUGGAAAGCUCAUCAAGUGACGGUAACUACACAGAAAGGGACGGCUAACUACGUG
rnacentral:rRNA from 1 species